AACGCUGGCGGCAUGCCUAACACAUGCAAGUCGAACGAGACCUUCGGGUCUAGUGGCGCACGGGUGCGUAACACGUGGAAUUUGCCUCGGGGUAUGGAAUAACUCAGGGAAACUUGAGCUAAUACCAUAUAAUGUCUUCGGACCAAAGAUUUAUCGCCCUGAGAUAAGCCCGCGUAGGAUUAGCUAGUUGGUGAGGUAAAGGCUCACCAAGGCGACGAUCCUUAGCUGGUCUGAGAGGAUGAUCAGCCACACUGGGACUGAGACACGGCCCAGACUCCUACGGGAGGCAGCAGUGGGGGAAUAUUGGACAAUGGGCGAAAGCCUGAUCCAGCAAUGCCGCGUGAGUGAUGAAGGCCUUCGGGUUGUAAAGCUCUUUUACUCGGGACGAUAAUGACGGUACCGAGAGAAUAAGCCCCGGCUAACUCCGUG
rnacentral:rRNA from 1 species